rnacentral:rRNA from 1 species
UACGGGGGGGGCAAGCGUUGUUCGGAAUUACUGGGCGUAAAGGGCUUGUAGGUGGCCAACUAAGUCAGACGUGAAAUCCCUCGGCUUAACCGGGGAACUGCGUCUGAUACUGGAUGGCUUGAGUGUGGGAGAGGGAUGCGGAAUUCCAGGUGUAGCGGUGAAAUGCGUAGAUAUCUGGAGGAACACCGGUGGCGAAGGCGGCAUCCUGGACCAACACUGACGCUCAUGCACGAAAGCGUGGGGAGCAAACAGG